rnacentral:piRNA from 1 species
UUCCAAUUUAUUUAUGGAUGAUUCCGUGG